GCUUGUACACUAAACACUAUUUAAAAGCAGGUGUUAAAAAAUUAGGCGUUUGUUAUACAUAUAAAAUAUCAAGUUUCAUCAAAGGAUUAUCGGUCACAUCCUUCAUACCAUAUAAUAUCCUAAAUAUUUAUGUUAUCAUUAUCAGGUGCCCAUAUACAAAAAAUAUAAGGAAACGGGAAAGAGGCUUCUUCUUCUUCUUUUU
rnacentral:lncRNA from 1 species